UGAGAAAAUAAAGACAAAACAGUAAAAGGAAAACAUAGAGACGAAGUUGAGAGAGAUAGAGAGGGAGAGAGAGAGAGAAAAGAGGGGGAGAGAGAAAAAGGAAAGCCUCCGCGUCUGAAUGGUCCUUGGUGGCUGAGAUAAAGAAGAAAAACGGAUUUGAACAGAUCCAAUGGCUGAUGAACAAAUAGAUUAUGAGGACGAGGAGUAUGGGGGAGCUCAGAAAGUUCAAUAUCAGGGAAGUGGUGCCAUACCUGCACUUGCAGAGGAAGAGAUGGGGGAAGAUGAUGAAUAUGAUGAUCUCUACAAUGAUGUAAAUGUUGGAGAGAAUUUCCUACAGAUGCACCGAUCUGAGGUUCCACCACCACCUGCUAGUAUGGGCAAUGGAGGAUUCCAAUCUCGGAAUGUUGAUGAAUCAAGAGUUGAAAGUAGUGGUUCACAGGGACUGAACAAACCUGGGGUGGCAAUUGAAGAGAAGUAUUCUAAUGCCACAACACAUUUUCAUGAGCAGAGAGAAGUUCCCAUGGGUGUUAAGGGGCCAGAAAUGGGAUCUGUUGGCUACCCAGAUGGGUCUAAUGUUGCACAAAAAGGGAGGGUUAUGGAGAUGACUCAUGAUUCUCAAGCACGAAAUAUGGGGUUUCAAGGAACAACAUCUGUGCCCUCCAACAUUGGGGUUGAUCCUUCUUCUGAUAUGAGUAGAAAAAUUGCCAAUGAGUCUUCACCUUUGCCAAAUACUGGCACCAGUGGUCCUCGAGGCAUUCAACAGUUGUCAACUAAUCAAAUUAGUGUGAAUAUGGAUGCCAAUCGUCCUGCAAUGAAUGAAAAUCAAAUCCGGCCACCAAUAGAGAAUGGUUCAACCAUGCUGUUUGUGGGAGAAUUACAUUGGUGGACAACUGAUGCAGAGCUUGAGAGUGUUUUAUCUCAAUAUGGAAGGGUCAAGGAGAUAAAGUUCUUUGAUGAAAGAGCUAGUGGCAAAUCUAAGGGCUAUUGCCAAGUUGAAUUUUAUGAUGCAGCAGCUGCUGCUGCAUGCAAAGAGGGAAUGGAUGGGCAUGUUUUCAAUGGUCGUGCUUGUGUUGUGGCCUUUGCUUCUCCACAAACAUUAAAGCAGAUGGGGGCUUCUUACAUGAACAAAACUCAGAGUCAGCCUCAGUCGCAGAAUCAAGGAAGGAGGCCUAUGAAUGAUGGUGUGGGAAGAGGUGGUAAUAUGAAUUAUCAAGGUGGAGAUGCGGGGAGGAACUAUGGAAGGGGUGGGUGGGGACGAGGUGGGCAGGGAAUUCUCAAUAGAGGUCCUGGAGGUGGAGGCCCAAUGAGGGGCAGAGGAGGAGCCAUGGGUGCCAAGAACAUGGUUGGAGGUGCUGGUGGAUUAGGAAGUGGUGCCAAUGGUGGAGGCUAUGGACAAGGCCUUGCAGGUCCUGCUUUUGGUGGACCUGCUGGUGGUAUGAUGCCUCCACAGGGUAUGAUGGGAGCUGGAUUUGAUCCAACAUAUAUGGGUCGUGGGGCUGGAUAUGGAGGAUUUGCAGGUCCUGGUUUUCCUGGCAUGCUUCCUUCGUUUCCAGCUGUUAAUACAAUGGGACUUGCUGGGGUGGCUCCUCAUGUCAACCCAGCCUUCUUUGGCCGGGGAAUGACACCUAAUGGUAUGGGAAUGAUGGGUCCCACUGGAAUGGAUGGGCCUAAUGCUGGAAUGUGGUCUGACACAAGCAUGGGUGGAUGGGGAGAAGAGCCUGGCAGAAGAACAAGGGAGUCAAGUUAUGGUGGUGAUGAUGGGGCUUCUGAAUAUGGCUAUGGAGAGGUCAAUCAUGAAAAGGGAGCACGGUCAAGCGCUGUCUCUCGGGAAAAGGAGCGGGUUUCUGAGCGUGACUGGUCAGGGACCUCUGAUAGGAGGCAUCGUGAUGAGAGGGAACAUGAUUGGGACAGGUCUGAAAGAGAGCACAGGGAGCACAGGUACCGGGAAGAGAAAGAAAGUUACCGAGAACAUCGACAAAGAGAGCGUGACUCUGGUUAUGAGGAUGACUGGGAUAGAGGGCAAUCUUCUUCAAGAUCUAGAAGCAGGUCCCGUGCAGUGCCUGAAGAAGAUUACAGGUCUCGAUCAAGGGAUGCAGAUUAUGGCAAGAGGAGGCGCCUACCAUCAGAGUGAUACAACCAUUCUGUUCAUCUUUCUUGGAUAGGUUUACAAGGCCUCAACAUUUUAUAUCUGCACUUUUGGUCUGUCUCCCUUGGGCUGUUUGCGCUGGCUGCAUUAACCUGAAAUGCAGAUGGUGACUUCUUGAGGGAAGAAGGGGUGGAGUGGGCAACUCUUUGUUUUCAUGAUUGAAUCAUAUCUGUGUUAGUUGCCUGGAGGAAGAUGUGUUAGAUGAGCUGCCUUCACUGGAUUUCUUCCAUAAUGGUUUUGAUCUGCCAAGUUUGCAAAAGAAGCCUUGAUUAUUUUGGCUUUCACCCUUUUUUCCACAAGCACCACUUAAGAAUCUGUAAAUAACAUUCCUGCAAGAAUAUGUCUAGAAAGACUUGUAUUCAUGGAGCUGUAAAAUAAUGAAGAGAUGUAUUAGGUCCUUUAGUUUUUUUAUUUCAUGUAAAUGGAUACAUGUAUUAGGUCCUUUAGUUUCUUCUUGUUAUACAUCAGGUCAACAUCAUGUAAUGGUCUCCUUCAUUAUUUAUUUUGAUCAUUGAUCUUUUUUCUGUUUCAUCACUGAGCUUGUAAAAGUCUUGUACCAAUUGUGGGGACCAUAUUUGUACAUAUUUGAUGUCUUGUAAUUCCUCUUGUUAUGUCUCUGUGUUAGUUAGAAGGGUCAGAGAUGAGUUAAUAAUGCUUUGUAAUGAUGGGUGGAUAUCCCUACUCUAUUUUGGUCACUGUAAUACAUAUAAAACCCAAGUUUUAAGGACAUUCUUCCUGAAAAGUUGAAGGAUUUGAGAAGUUUCAUCAUUACAAUGUAAAUUUGGGGUCUACCUCACUAUUAGGAGCUAUGAGUAAAUGCCACAAUGUUGCAGAUGCGCGGGAACCAAAAAGAGUGUUGACUGUUUUGGGCUUGUUUAUCCCUCUCUGGAGGCCUGAUGCAAUGCUUUUUAUGUAUUCUUUUUUUUUUUUCCCCCUUUUGGGGAUCUAGUUUAGGGUUCCUCAUUUACUGUUGUUCUUGGUGAGAUUUUGUUGUAUAAAUCAUGUUUUCUGGUUUGUACAGUAGGAUGUAGAUUUUAUUUUACACUGUACUUUAGAUUUUAGUCUUCAGCCUUCUUGUAUUUAUGUACGAGGAGCGGCAACAUCCUUCUUAAAGGUGCAUUCCAGUGUUCUGAUAGGUGCUACUUGAUGACAAAAACUGACACUUGUAUUUACUUUUUUAUUUAGAUUCAGUAUGUACUCAUGCUAUCUUUUCAUUA